CCACGACGACCCAGUCGACGCCGCCGACCUUGGCGAUGGCCGCAUCGAGGUUGGCCUUGAGCGGCACCUUCUUGCCGCCGCGCAGGCCUUCGUCGGCCGUGAUGACGACGUUGGAUUUGCAGUCCUUGAUGCGCUGCGCCAGCGAGUCGGGCGAAAAGCCGCCGAACACCACCGAGUGGAUCGCGCCGAUCCGCGCGCAGGCCAGCAUCGCGUAGGCCGCUUCCGGAAUCAUCGGCAGG
rnacentral:misc_RNA from 1 species